GAGUUUGAUCAUGGCUCAGAUUGAACGCUGGCGGCGUGCCUAACACAUGCAAGUCGAGCGGUAACAGGUGUAGCAAUACAUGCUGACGAGCGGCGAACGGGUGAGUAAUGCUUUGGAAUCUUCCCAGUAGUGGGGAAUAACCAGUCGAAAGAUUGGCUAAUACCGCAUACGUCUGUAAAGGGAAAGCGGGGGCUCGUAAGACCUCGCGCUAUUGGAUGAGCCAAAGUCGGAUUAGCUAGUUGGUGGGGUAAUGGCCUACCAAGGCGACAAUCCGUAGCUGGUCUGAGAGGACGACCAGCCACACCGGAACUGAGACACGGUCCGGACUCCUACGGGAGGCAGCAGUGGGGAAUAUUGGACAAUGGGGGAAACCCUGAUCCAGCGACGCCGUGUGUGUGAAGAAGGCCUGCGGGUUGUAAAGCACUUUUAGUGGGGACAAAAAGCUACGGAUUAAUACUCUGUGGUCUUGAUUUAACCCAAAGAAAAAGCACCGGCUAACUCUGUGCCAGCAGCCGCGGUAAUACG
rnacentral:rRNA from 1 species